CCUCCCCUCUCUGGCCUCUCUUACACACACUAUGCCUUUCACAUGCGGUCUGCGCCCCCCUCAGCCCCCCUCCCCUUCUCUCGCUUUUGCAGUGUCUUCACAUGCAAUCUCUCUCUGAAUGUGCAAUGUCUUUCCUGCUCGGGAGUGCUGCGUCCUUCACAGUGGAUUGGUUCCUCUCUCGGAGCAGAGGCCACUGAGAAUCCUAAUUGGAAAAAAACCCGUCUUCAGAACUAGCAGCACAGACACAAUCCUGGAUGAGUGGAAGGAGGCAAAAUAGAAGAGGAUAUAAAAAAGAAUGAUGCAUUCUGGUCUUCGGAUACUCAUCUUGCUUGCAGACCUACGAGUGGGAACUGUCACAGGUGCUGAGCCCAGAGGCUGGCUGAUUCUGCGCUUGGAAGCCAAGCAGGGAUAUGUUGGCAUCUCAGUUAAAGAACGUUUGCACUGUGGAGUUCCACCCCAGAAAUAACAAGUGGAGGCCCAGUCCAUGGAAAAGGAUGCCUUUAGAAGAAUCUGAAUGAAGUCUCGGGGGGGUUAGCCAGAGAUCAUGGCAAAAGAUGUAGCUUAUCUCUUCUUGAGCCUAUUAGAAUGCCCUGAUGAAAAACAGGAGGCAGUCUCACUUUUGGCAUGUGCAAACCAAAGGACAUCCUGCUUUAGACAAAAUAAAAAAGCUCAGCUAACCUUCUGUACUAGUCACCUCCUGUCAGAUCAGCAUCAAUUUCUGCAGAUGCCUACCGCAAAGGAAGAGAAAGCCCUGUAAAUCUUGCAGCUAAACACCCUUGAGCUAUUUUCUGACUAAAGAUGCUGCAUUUACCUCAACUUGACAAGAGGUUCCAGAAAGUCAAGUUUUUGAAAAAGUUUUCUGAAAACUGGCAAAGGACGAAAGAAGGACAGAAAAUAGAUUUUAAGAGAAAGUGUAUAAAGACCCUUUGAACCCUUUGAGGACCCUUUGCCCUUUUGAGAGGCACUCAGUGCCUUGGUUAUGGGAUGAUCAACACGUAGACCCAGCUACUUGCUAAAAAAAGUACAAGCUGAACCAGUCACUGAGUAGCGCUUUGUGGAGGCCGAAUACAUAUUACUUGCCAGUGCAGGACAGUCCUCGCAGGCCGUGAUUUUUUAAGAGAAUGACUUCUGCUUCAAGAUCUAUACCUCUGCAACUUGUCAGUGAUUAUAACAACUCAUUGACCAAAAGCAGACUGAUCACGGCAGAUACAAAGAGCAUGUAUGCCAGCAUGAAGAAAAAGAUGUUCUGCUUUACUCAGUAGCUAUCUUGGCCAUUUUCCAGGAGGAGACUGAAAUUUCUUCAUGCUGAAGAAACAAACUUUCUUCACGACAGAAGGAAAUGCUUAGAUUUGUGUAACACUGAGAGCUGGGCCAUAUCCCAUGGGAUUCUUCCAAGCAGAUCCAUGAAGAGGCUAGAGUCUAUUUCCUGAAGUUGCGAUCCGGGUUUUCGCCCUGCUCCCUCCUCUCAGGAUCCUGAACUCCACCACCGCAUGGUCGCUGCAGCCCAGGCUUCCCCUAACCAGCCCUUCCUGUUUGGAAGUAUGAAGUCCAGCAGAGCAUCCUUCCUCAAUGGCUCGUCUAUCACCUGUGUCACGAAGUUGUCAUCUAUGCUCUCGAGGAACCUCCUGGAUUGCUUAAGGCCUGCUGUGUUUUCCCUCCAGCAGAUGUCAGGGUGGUGAAUCUUGUUCUUUCUUAGGUAUGUUGGCUACUGACAACAGUAAAAAGUAUUAUUGAUUUUUUUAAUAAGGCAGAUUUUAAAUAGCUAUCCGAACACACACACGAAAAUAACUAGAACUUGAAUCUCUAACAGUGUCUUAAAAAUUUGCCAUGAUGUAGUAGAGGGAUACAUUGAAGCAUCUCUAUUUUGUAAAAAGGCCUUGUUUUUCAGUAAUCACAGUUUGUAGCAAAACUGUCCUGUAAGACUUGUCUCAUCAGUGUAGAAACAUAGUGUCUUUAAUACUGAAAAGAGAGUAAUAUUACGUUAGCACAUAUUAUUGUAAACCAAAACCUGUGGAGAAAAUUAUAAGUAUGCCAUCUGAUAAAUACAGAAUGAAUAUGAAUGUUUGAAAAUAACUCUAAAAUGUGUAUGUAUUGGGUUGCACUAAGGUGAGUUUUAAAUAAAUUGGAAGCUUUUUUGA